AGUACAAACUAAAAUAAAGUGAAACCGCGAAAGGCUCAUUAAAUCAGUUAUGGUUCCUUAGAUCGUACCCACAUUUACUUGGAUAACUGUGGUAAUUCUAGAGCUAAUACAUGCAAACAGAGCUCCAACCGGAGACGGAAGGAGUGCUUUUAUUAGAUCAAAACCAAUCGGCGGCGGGUGCGUUUCGGCGUUCUCCGUUCGUCGCACUGUUUGGUGACUCUGAAUAACUUUAUGCUGAUCGCACGGUCAUGCACCGGCGACGCAUCUUUCAAAUGUCUGCCUUAUCAACUGUCGAUGGUAGGUUCUGCGCCUACCAUGGUUGUAACGGGUAACGGGGAAUCAGGGUUCGAUUCCGGAGAGGGAGCCUGAGAAACGGCUACCACAUCCAAGGAAGGCAGCAGGCGCGCAAAUUACCCACUCCCGGCACGGGGAGGUAGUGACGAAAAAUAACGAUACGGGACUCAUCCGAGGCCCCGUAAUCGGAAUGAGUACACUUUAAAUCCUUUAACGAGGACCAAUUGGAGGGCAAGUCUGGUGCCAGCAGCCGCGGUAAUUCCAGCUCCAAUAGCGUAUAUUAAAGUUGUUGCGGUUAAAAAGCUCGUAGUUGAAUCUGUGUCUCGCACUGUUGGUUCACCGCCCGCGGUGUUUAACUGGCACGUUGCGAGACGUCCUGCCGGUGGAUCGUGUCAUGGGCUUGUACGCGAGCUGUAAUUGCAUAUUCGCCGUACGUGUACAUCUGUGCGCUGCGACGGUGUGUGUAUGCACGCCCGUUGUACAUGUUUCAUGCACAUCCGACGUUAGAAAUCCUGUCGCGGUGCUCUUAAUUGAGUGUCGAGGCGGGCCGGCACGUUUACUUUGAACAAAUUAGAGUGCUCAAAGCAGGCUAAAAUUUUGCCUGAAUAUUGUGUGCAUGGAAUAAUGGAACAGGACCUCGGUUCUAUUUUGUUGGUUUUCGGAACCCCGAGGUAAUGAUUAAUAGGGACAGAUGGGGGCAUUCGUAUUGCGACGUUAGAGGUGAAAUUCUUGGAUCGUCGCAAGACGGACAGAAGCGAAAGCAUUUGCCAAAAAUGUUUUCAUUAAUCAAGAACGAAAGUCAGAGGUUCGAAGGCGAUCAGAUACCGCCCUAGUUCUGACCAUAAACGAUGCCAGCUAGCGAUCCGCCGACGUUCCUCCGAUGACUCGGCGGGCAGCUUCCGGGAAACCAAAGCUUUUGGGUUCCGGGGGAAGUAUGGUUGCAAAGCUGAAACUUAAAGGAAUUGACGGAAGGGCACCACCAGGAGUGGAGCCUGCGGCUUAAUUUGACUCAACACGGGAAACCUCACCAGGCCCAGACACCGGAAGGAUUGACAGAUUGAGAGCUCUUUCUUGAUUCGGUGGGUGGUGGUGCAUGGCCGUUCUUAGUUGGUGGAGCGAUUUGUCUGGUUAAUUCCGAUAACGAACGAGACUCUAGCCUGCUAACUAGGCGUAACUUACCGGUAUCUCGAAGGCUCGUGUCUUUCGUCUUUCGGCUGCGUACUGUGUACAACGUACAUUCCGUACUUGUACGGUGUGUGCCUGUGCCGGUGCGUUGUCCGGGGCGUUAGUUCACGGUUUUUACUACCGGCGUACAUAUGAAUCUUCUUAGAGGGACAGGCGGCUUCUAGCCGCACGAGAUUGAGCAAUAACAGGUCUGUGAUGCCCUUAGAUGUUCUGGGCCGCACGCGCGCUACACUGAAGGAAUCAGCGUGUCUUCCCUGGCCGAACGGUCCGGGUAACCCGCUGAACCUCCUUCGUGCUAGGGAUUGGGGCUUGCAAUUGUUCCCCAUGAACGAGGAAUUCCCAGUAAGCGCGAGUCAUAAGCUCGCGUUGAUUACGUCCCUGCCCUUUGUACACACCGCCCGUCGCUACUACCGAUUGAAUGAUUUAGUGAGGUCUUCGGACCGGCACGCGGCGGCGUUUCGACAUCGCCGAUGUCGCUGGGAAGAUGACCAAAC
rnacentral:rRNA from 1 species